rnacentral:lncRNA from 1 species
UUGAACCAUUUUGAAACUGAUAACAUUUUACCCGAUCCCCUCCGUGAUCAAAACGGUUGUAAGACGAUUAACAUCUCUAGGAUCUUCUCCGGGAUGAAGACGGGAUUAAUCGUUGUAGGCAUUUUCAAAAUGGAGAACAUCUUGAACCCAAAAGGCUGAUGUUAAAGUCGAACCUGCAGAAAAAAGACAACUGUAAUAUGUUAAGAAGAUUAAAAUACUGCUUGAAUACUCAUUAAUCUAUUAUGACUUGCAGAAGGUAAUGUAUUUACCUAAAAAUGACCAACAUCGUAAACGUGUCGUCGUCCACCACCGUCCGAAAUCGAACCACGGAAGUUUUAAUUGAACUUAAACCACGAAUGAACCCUAAAGAUAAACACAAAACAAUGAAUCUCAAAAUAAUGUGAUUGAAAUCGUUCCGUCGUCCAACCUAAGGAAAGGGAUAAUGUUUUUAUUAAACCGAUUCGAACACCGAACUCGUUUCGCCGUCCGUAAUCGAACGAAACAAAGCUAGAAUGAUUGAAACUAAAAAUGAACCCCAAAAGCUAGAAUGAAUCUUAAAAAUGAACAAUGAAAAUGAACCCUAAAAAUGCACCCCAAUCUGAUACAACCCAAAACAAAAAAUUGAACAGAAAAAUGUGAUUGAACAAGGAAAACACAAUGAAAUCGACCGAGAGUUAGACACAAUAAAAAUGUGAUUAACCCUAAACACAAAGAAAGGUAGAAAUAAAAGCACGACGAAACGGUUCCUAUAUAACCCAAAAUGAUAUUUUGCACAACCAACGGUUUCAUAAACUAGAAGCAGAAAAAGAAAUAAGAAACAGAACAAGAAGCACAACGAAGGAACGAAAACACAACGAACCCAAAACUACGAUUUAACCAGGAAAAAUCCAUGGAAAUGAGCGGAGAGAACAAAGCUCAGCUUG